AUCAUAUAUUAUCCAGUAGAAAAUCUGGAAUCACAACCUGAAGUAGAAAUUCAUGGCUUUCAUGAUGACAUAGGAAGCCAAUAAGACUAAUUAAAUAUGACUGGAGCUAAAUAUGUAAAGAGAUAACACAGAAGAACAAGAGUGGUUGAAACCUAUUUCUGCUCAAGAGUGAAAUCUCUUUUCAUGUUGUCAUCAAAGACGGAUUAAUGAAGGGAGAAAAGUGGAAGAUGCAAAAGUGGAGGAAGACUUGGAGGAACAGAAACCUAUGAUAUAAACUUGCUGGUGUCAACAAAUCAGCUAGCAGAAAUAAUGAAGGAAACCGAGGUGAUGUGAUGAAGCUUUGAAAAGAUACAAUAAAGUUGGAAUAGCCUGCACAAAUCUAACAAGCUCCCUUGACUAUCACAGACUUAUGGAAUAGUAAGGGGAGGGAGGAUUGGGGGUGGGGAGGUUGAGAAUUACCUGUGGAAAAUGAACUACUACUAAAAAUAGGGAGAAAAUGCAAUUCUAAAGAAAAUGAGUUUGGAGGGGAAAACAAAGACAAUUCAUG